GACGAACGCUGGCGGCGUGCUUAACACAUGCAAGUCGAACGAAGUGGCGAACGGGUGAGUAAUACGUGGGUAACCUGCCCUCCUUUUUGGGAUAAGCCUUGGAAACGGGGUCUAAUACCGAAUAAAGGGGGAUGGGCUCGCGGCCUAUCAGCUUGUUGGUGGGGGGAUGGCCUACCAAGGCGGUGACGGGUAGCCGGCCUGAGAGGGUGACCGGCCAAAUUGGGACUUAGAAACGGCACAGACUCCUACGGGAGGGAGCAGUGGGGGAUAUUGCACAAUGGACGAAAGCCUGAGGCAGCGACGCCGCGUGAGGGAUGACGGCCUUCGGGUGGGAAAGCUCUGUUAAUCGGGACGCGGUACCGGAAUAGAAAGCAACGGCUAACUACGUGCCAGCAGCCGCGGUAAUUC
rnacentral:rRNA from 1 species